rnacentral:rRNA from 1 species
AGUGAACGCUGGCGGUAGGCCUAACACAUGCAAGUCGAACGACAGCACAGUAAGCUCUCUCCCUUACGGGUGGCGACUGACGGACGGGUGAGGAAUACAUAACCUUCCUCUUAUUCGUGGGUGACAUCGUAGGGCCACUUACGCUACCACCUCAUACGUCCUACGGGAGAAUGCAAGAGUUCAACGGAGCUUGCCUGUUACUUUGAGACGAUGUCGGAUUAGCUAGUUGGCGGGGUAAGGUCCCACCAAGGCGACGAUCCGUAGCUGGUCUGAGAGGAUGAUCAGCCACACUGGAACUGAGACACGGUCCAGACUCCUACGGGAGGCAGCAGUGGGGAAUAUUGGACAAUGGGCGCAAGCCUGAUCCAGCCAUACCGCGUGAGUGAAGAAGGCCUUCGGGUUGUAAAGCCCUUUUGUUGGGGAAGAAAAGCAGCAGGUGAAUACCCCGCUGUUCUGACGGUACCCAAAGAGUAAGCACCGGCUAACUUCGUG